GAAGGGGAGGGGGUGUCGUCUCUUGCUUUCAGGCAGAGGCUGCCUAGGGAAAUCUCUCUUGGAGCGAAUCUAUCGAUAGGCAAUCAGGGUGUGGCACAGAACAAUGGAUAGAAGUUGUCUCGGAGAGCUUUCCACCUAGGCCUCGCUCUUCAGAAAAUAAGAUGAAAAGCAAAGAGCCCAUCCAGCCCAUUGGCCCAACAUGUGAAGAAGAUGGCAAAGCAUAGGCUGUACUUACCACCCACAUCACAAAUGAGUGGGAACUGGGACAGGUCAAAGGCAGAAAGCACUUCUCUUCCUAGGACAGGCCAGAGUUCAUUCAAAAAACUGGACGAGGUUUGUAACUCUUCCUUUGAUCUAGAAUUAAAAUAAACACUACCAAAUAAACACCUCUAAAUAUAACUUUA